GGCCAGUCAGCUCAGUUGGUUAGAGCGUGGUGCUGAUAACACCAAGCUCGGGGGUUCGAUCCCCGUUCGGUCA
rnacentral:tRNA from 1 species